rnacentral:lncRNA from 1 species
GCCGAGCGCCCCGGCCGCGCGUGUGACCCUCCUCGACCUUCAGCAGGCUGCAGGCCUGGAGUCUCGGCUGCGAGGGUGGGAAGGCCGGCUUCGGCGGCGGGCCGGAGGAGAGGGUCACUCCUCUCCUGACCCGAGUGACCUUCAGGGGCCGCAGCGAAGUGUGCCAGCAGCUCCCGAAACAUGAGGCCCGGAAAGCAUUAUCAGAUGAAGGCAGGGCAGAGGCCAGAGACCCUGGGCCUCAACCCUGGGACCCAGUGGACAGGAAGAGCCCAGUGGACUUCGAGAGGCCACGUCAGGCCAGCUGGGUGAGUCAGGAGGCCCUCUCUGAGCCAGACGCCCAAUUGUGCUGGAUUUCCCCCCAACUUCUGGGCAGGGCAGUCCCUGUACCAGGCUGGACAGAAUGGGAGGGUCCUGAACUGAAGACUUAACAAGCCAGGGAUAAGCAGUGCCCUCCCAUCCGCUCCUGCUGCUCUUUCCAGCAUUUCUGCCCCCUCACGUCCAGGUAGCACUGUCCAGAGAUGGCCUCUCCUGUUGUAUGGACACAUACCUGUGCUCAUAGCUCCAGAGGAUCAACACAAGGGUGGAACUCCUGCGGGGAGCCCCAUGGCUGGUAGGCACCUUUCAGAGGCAGACUUUGCAGUGGCCUUGGAAAUGUCAGGGGCAGCCCCCCUGCCCUUUGACACCAGGAUGGCAUUGCCGUCCCUAGAGAGUGCCAGGUUGU